ensembl:snRNA U6 U6 spliceosomal RNA
GUGCUCACUUCAGCAGCACAUAUACUAAAACUGGAACGAUACAGAGAAGACUGGCCUGGCCCUUGUGCAAGGAUGAUACACAAAUUCAUGAAGCGUUCCAUGUUUUU